CUACAAUGUUUAGAUAUUAUUUGUUCCAUUAGAAGCCAAAAGAUAAAUUUAUUUCCUUAACUAGUAUUUGCCCUCUCAGAUUAUUAUUUUGUCCUGUUGUAGAUUGCAGCAAGUCUAGAAAUGUAUUACACAACUUUUCUUUUCUUUAUAAAUAAUAAAGCUGACUGUCACUUCCUAUAAUCUUGGCAAAAAGGCUCAUACAUCCCAAUUGUCCCAGUUGAGCAGAACAGUCACUCUCCGUUUUUUUUCUACCUAAAAGAUAAAAUAAAAUCCCAAUUCUCAAUAAGGGCAAAAGCAGUUUUUUGUUUCUUCCGGGUCCCUAAAAAGGUCCUGUGUAGGACCAGUUUGUUGCUUUUGUUUUUUUUUUGUAUAUUUGAAUACCUUGCAUCAAUGAAAUAAAAGCAUUUUUAUUUUUGUAAAUUCCACCCUGAGUCCAGGAAAGCAUAUUUGGUGAGGAGUACACAGCCAGGAGCUGAUCAUCAGAUUGGAUAGCCCCCAAGAUAUCCAAGGGGAGACAUAGUUAUGAUCAAUCACCAUCUUGUGAGUGCAUCCCAAUUUGUGCAAUAUUGUACUAUACUAGACAC